UAACACACUGGCUGGUACUAUAUAUACUGUUGAGGUAAGGCCGAAGAGAGCAAGAGCAGAUCACAUGGGGCUGUAUUCCUACUCCCGUUAUAUCAUUCUGGUAUUAUUACUCUCCGCAGCAAUCUUGGCCAUGCAUCCUUAUCAAAUCAGUGCAGAUAUUAAAGUAAUUAGAAAACUAGCACGCAUGCCAAGUCCUCCCCCUCCACAAAAACCAAACUUUAGGAGAGCCCAGAAACCACCAGAGCCUCCGCCUAGCUCUGUACAAGUUGAAAAUUAGGAUCCUUCAAUCAGCAUAUGUAAUUGAAGUAAUAAGAGUGGAAAGUAAUAAGAGUUUAAUAUUUCUGCAUGUAUGCCUCCUUUUUAUGGGAUCAAUGUAAGAUUUGGGUGUUUCUCAAAUGGUUCAAUGAAAUUUAGACCACUCGGUUUAAUGCAUGUUAUUGGUUGUAAUUUGACUUCAAGAUUAUAAAUAAGCUGGCAAACUAGCUAGCUAACACCCAACGGGGAAAAUAUACCCACUGAAAAUGAAAUAAUGGAAGAGAGAAAUGUUGUAUUCGAUCUACAA